AGUAGUAUGGCUAGAUUGUGGUUGGACUCAAUAUUUAAGGUCUUUUCCCACCUGAGUAAUUCUAUAAGCUAACUGAUGUAAUUCUGCCUCUACCUUCUCCAUAGGCUUUUUGUCAGUAAUAGCAGUUAAAUAUCACAAUAAGCAGAUAUUUAAGAUGUGUGAAUCAGUCCUCACCAGCUCCUUUUGAUCAGUGACCCUAGCUGUCUAUGUUGCAUUUAACACCCAAUCCUAGAUCCCCUGUUCUGAAAUAUUACUCGCUUGGGGGACAGGAUUAAAAUGUGGAAAGUUUUCCUCUUUGACUUCUUGCCAAAACCAUUAAAACAUUCUCUGCACUGUCACAGCUUGUGCCACCUCCCAGGGGAUUUGAUUUAGAAGUAAAUUACAUGUAAGUGUUAGAUGAAAAGAGCCUCAUUAUCUAAUUCUUCCUGCACCAGCAUUUCUUUAAAUUGCUUACAAGGGAGAGAAGACAAUUAGUCCUGUGUUCGAAAUGAGAAGUUAUAAGUAUCUGUCACUCCCAUUAACCAUGAUUAUUUUUUAAUAUGCAAAUAUGAGUGCUUUCUAGACCAGUGAGAUGUGGCAGCCAUAUCUCCACAGGACCAGAUGCCAAGUGUGUUUUGACCAACUCUGAGCGCACCCAACCACCAUGAGCUUCAGGGGCUGCUAGCUGGACCAAGGGUGUUACAGCAGUCUGCACACUGAAUCAGCAUUGCAAUAGUGGAAGAAAAAUUGGAUGCCCUUCAUCCUUUUGCAGUAGCUGCAAGUACACAAUUGCUUCCAUAGCACCAACAGGUUUCUAAACAAAUUUCAGAAACAACUUUGAGAGCUCUGCAGUCAGUUGGAGAGUUCCUCACAGAUUUGAAUUGGCUCUUCCAGGCAGACAUCAGGACAUAGAAGCUGAUGCCAAUGAUGCAUGAUUAGCAGAGACUGACCAGAAGCCCGCUUUCCUGAGUCGCUGCUGAGAAACCCCAUUCAGGCCUGCAGCGUGGUUGUCCUUUCAAGGGGACUCUCAUUUGACUCUUCCCACCAAUUCUAACUUAAAUUUGUUGAGCAAUAUUCUCUUCCCCAUGCUUACAGGUGAAAUUUUCGAGGCAGUUGGGAUGAAAGAGACAGUUGCACUAAUAAAAGUACAGUCCUCUGUUCAUAUCCGUCACAAAACUUACUACAAGUGCUCUUAACCUACUCCUUGAAUUACAUGAUUUUGUUUUUACAACACUUCAUUUGCUGCACACUCCUCCGAGAUCAGCCUACCUCAACUACCAUCAAGAUAGAGACCUCCCUGGUACCAGAGUAAUUCAGAGCAGAAGUGAAGUCAUAUUCCUUUUAGCAGAGGAGCCAAGAUGUUCCUCAGGCUCCAGAGCUCAGCUGCCUCAGCCCAGCACAGAGAUCUCCCAUUCACACAAAUCUCAGAUAUGCACUCACCAUCAAUCACCAGAGCUUAAAUGGAACUAUGGAGAGACAAUGGAUGAAGUUACUUCGUAUGAAAGUUACUUGAAAAUCCUGAAGCUUCCAAGAUUAAACAGUAAAAGCCUCAGUCAUGGCAAUUAUUCUGGAUAUCAGCACUGCUAUUGAAGUUACUACAGUUCCAAUGUUAGAUUGAUGUCAAGCGGAAAAGCAAUGUUCAGAAGUAGUUUGCAUUCCCUUUAAUGCAUCUGGUAUAACCCUUAAAUUUCCCUCCAUUCCUAUGUGAAACUCCAGAAUUAUAGACUUUUUGUUUCAACAGUGAGUUUAUUUCUUUUGUGUCUUAAGCAGUUUUUCUGGAAACAAGGCUUAUGUCACGACACCCUGAAAAAAUUCCCAAAAGCAAAGAGGUGUUAAAGAUAAAGGUCUUUUAGGCUGUGUGGAAUUAAAAAAGGCUAAAGGGAAAGCUGCAACAUUAGCCUACAAACACAAGCAGUAGAAUACUAUUUAUUCAUGUCAGCAAGUAAACAGCACUGGCUCCACCGAUGCAGUAGCAAACCUUAUCAUGUCUGCCCUAAUUCUGCCCUAUCUCAUUGCAGGCACAAGGGUUGCUUGAACAGACUGCAGGUCGUCUGCUCCUUUUAUGAAGCACACAUGGGAGUUAUGAUAACAGAGACAGGAUUUUCUUUUUUUUUUUUUUUGUAAUUUGUGAUUUGAAGCUAAGAUUUGAACAGAUGCCUCUGGAGAUGAGUAUCCAUUGUGCUAUUCCUUUGUAUGUCACGUUGGUCUCACGGGAAGAUUCAUUUUGAGUGGAAAGUCAAUCAACUUCUUAAUAAUAAUAAAUAGAUAGGACAGCCAUUUUCUGUAUCACUUUCCUUUGCCUAUCCCCUCAGCUGAGAAUCCUGCAUCCAUUUCCCUCCCUUACUAUUUCAUUGCCUGGAUAAAGGUAACUGGGAGGAGACGCUGUUCUCCAUCCCACAGAUUCAGACCUUAACUUGACUCCUGUAUUUUACUGUUGGCAAAGCUGGGCCAGUUCUGCACACAGUUGGGUGCAUUUUGUAGUUCAUACCAUUCAUCUAUGGGAAUGUGUCAAAUGUGCAUGUCAGGCUGCUUCAAAUAAAUGAGCAAUGCAGUAUUGGA